GACGAACGCUGGCGGCGUGCCUAAUACAUGCAAGUCGAACGCAGUGGGGACGGGUGAGUAACACGUGGGUAACCUCCCAUCAGAGGGGAUAACACUUGGAAAAAGGUGCUAAACCGAUACUGAUGGAUGAACACGCGGUGGAUUAGCUAGUUGGUGAGGUAACGGCUCACCAAGGCCACGAUGCAUAGCGGACCUGAGAGAGUGAUCGCCCACACGGUGACGGAGCAACGGCCCAAGCUCCUACGGGAGGCAGCAGUAGGGAAUCUUCGGCAAUGGACGAAAGGCUGACCGGGCAACGCCGCGUGAUUGAAGAAGGUUUUCGGAUCGUAAAACUCUGUUGUUAGAGAAGCGGUAUCUAACCAGAAAGCCACGGCUAACUACGUGCCAGCAGCCGCGUAAUAC
rnacentral:rRNA from 1 species